GACGAACGCUGGCGGCGUGCUUAACACAUGCAAGUCGAACGAUGAACCGGGUGCUUGCACUUGGGGAUUAGUGGCGAACGGGUGAGUAACACGUGAGUAACCUGCCCUGGACUCUGGGAUAACCCCGAGAAAUCGGAGCUAAUACCGGAUAGGACCUUUCCCCGCAUGGGGUUUGGUGGAAAGUUUUUCGGUCUGGGAUGGACUCGAGGCCUAUCAGCUUGUUGGUGAGGUAAUGGCUCACCAAGGGGUCGACGGGUAGCCGGCCGGAGAGGGGGACCGGCCACACUGGGACUGCGACACGGCCCAGACUCCUACGGGAGGCAGCAGUGGGGAAUAUUGCACAAUGGGCGCAAGCCUGAUGCAGCAACGCCGCGUGCGGGGUGACGGCCUUCGGGUUGUAAACCGCUUUUAGUAGGGAAGAAGGGCUUCGGCUUGACGGUACCUGCAGAAAAAGGACCGGCUAACUACGUGCCAGCAGCCGCCGUAACAC
rnacentral:rRNA from 1 species